AGUCGAGGGGUAUAGUUCUUCGGAACUAGAGACCGGCGCACGGGUGCGUAACGCGUAUGCAAUCUACCUUUUGCAGAGGGAUAGCCCAGAGAAAUUUGGAUUAAUACCUCAUAGUAUAGCAGUUUCGCAUGAAACCACUAUUAAAGUCACAACGGCAAAAGAUGAGCAUGCGUCCCAUUAGCUAGUUGGUAAGGUAACGGCUUACCAAGGCUACGAUGGGUAGGGGUCCUGAGAGGGAGAUCCCCCACACUGGUACUGAGACACGGACCAGACUCCUACGGGAGGCAGCAGUGAGGAAUAUUGGACAAUGGGCGCAAGCCUGAUCCAGCCAUGCCGCGUGCAGGAUGACGGUCCUAUGGAUUGUAAACUGCUUUUGUACAGGAAGAAACACUCCCUCGUGAGGGAGCUUGACGGUACUGUAAGAAUAAGGAUCGGCUAACUCCGUGCCAGCAGCCGCGGUAAUACGGAGGAUCCAAGCGUUAUCCGGAAUCAUUGGGUUUAAAGGGUCCGUAGGCGGUUUAGUAAGUCAGUGGUGAAAGCCCAUCGCUCAACGGUGGAACGGCCAUUGAUACUGCUAGACUUGAAUUAUUAGGAAGUAACUAGAAUAUGUAGUGUAGCGGUGAAAUGCUUAGAGAUUACAUGGAAUACCAAUUGCGAAGGCAGGUUACUACUAAUGGAUUGACGCUGAUGG
rnacentral:rRNA from 3 species